CACGUAGGGUGCGAGCGUUGUCCGGAAUUAUUGGGCGUAAAGAGCUCGUAGGCGGUGUGUCGCGUCGGCCGUGAAAACCUGCAGCUUAACUGUGGGCUUGCGGUCGAUACGGGCAUCACUGGAGUUCGGCAGGGGAGACUGGAAUUCCUGGUGUAGCGGUGAAAUGCGCAGAUAUCAGGAGGAACACCGGUGGCGAAGGCGGGUCUCUGGGCCGAUACUGACGCUGAGGCACGAAAGCGUGGGGAGCAAACAGG
rnacentral:rRNA from 1 species